rnacentral:rRNA from 1 species
AUUGAACGCUGGCGGCAGGCCUAACACAUGCAAGUCGAGCGGUAGCACAGAGAGCUUGCUCUCGGGUGACGAGCGGCGGACGGGUGAGUAAUGUCUGGGAAACUGCCUGAUGGAGGGGGAUAACUACUGGAAACGGUAGCUAAUACCGCAUAACGUCGCAAGACCAAAGAGGGGGACCUUCGGGCCUCUUGCCAUCAGAUGUGCCCAGAUGGGAUUAGCUAGUAGGUGGGGUAACGGCUCACCUAGGCGACGAUCCCUAGCUGGUCUGAGAGGAUGACCAGCCACACUGGGACUGAGACACGGUCCAGACUCCUACGGGAGGCAGCAGUGGGGAAUAUUGCACAAUGGGCGCAAGCCUGAUGCAGCCAUGCCGCGUGUAUGAAGAAGGCCUUCGGGUUGUAAAGUACUUUCAGCGGGGAGGAAGGUGUUGAGGUUAAUAACCUCAGCAAUUGACGUUACCCGCAGAAGAAGCACCGGCUAACUCCGUGCCAGCCGCCGCGGUAA